rnacentral:rRNA from 1 species
UACGUAGGGUGCAAGCGUUACUCGGAAUUACUGGGCGUAAAGCGUGCGCAGGCGGUCCUGCAAGACAGAUGUGAAAUCCCCGGGCUUAACCUGGGAACUGCAUUUGUGACUGCAAGGCUGGAGUACGGUAGAGGGGGAUGGAAUUCCGCGUGUAGCAGUGAAAUGCGUAGAUAUGCGGAGGAACACCGAUGGCGAAGGCAAUCCCCUGGACCUAUACUGACACUCAUGCACGAAAGCUUCCAUAGCAAACAGG